rnacentral:rRNA from 1 species
GGACCCGCACAAGUAGUGGAGCAUGUGGUUUAAUUCGAAGAUACGCGCAGAACCUUACCAACACUUGACAUGUUCGUCGCGACUCUAAGAGAUUAGAGUUUUCGGUUCGGCCGGACGAAACACAGGUGCUGCAUGGCUGUCGUCAGCUCGUGUCGUGAGAUGUUGGGUUAAGUCCCGCAACGAGCGCAACCCUCACUUUUUAGUUGCCAUCAUUAAGUUGGGCACUCUGAAAGAACUGCCAGUGAUAAGCUGGAGGAAGGUGGGGAUGACGUCAAGUCCUCAUGGCCCUUACGGGUUGGGCUACACACGUGCUACAAUGGUGUGACAAUGGGUUAAUCCCAAAAGCCAUCUCAGUUCGGA